CAUGUUUGCUCCAUGCCAUUUAUGAUGGCACCAGUUCCCACCAGGGAGGCUGGGCAUGAUGCACUCCUGCCACACUCACACAGGUGUGAGCAGGGUGAUGCUGGUAUCCUUAAUUGGUGGAAAAGGUGAAAUUUAAAGAACCCAAGCCUUUACUUCAGGACACAGCGAAACAGAAUGAGCUAUGUACCAGUCAUUUUAAUUUCUGAUA
rnacentral:lncRNA from 12 species